UACAGAGGGGGCAAGCGUUGUUCGGAAUUACUGGGCGUAAAGGGCGCGUAGGCGGCCUUCUAAGUCGAACGUGAAAUCCCCGGGCUCAACCCGGGAACUGCGUCCGAUACUGGAAGGCUUGAAUCCGGGAGAGGGAUGCGGAAUUCCAGGUGUAGCGGUGAAAUGCGUAGAUAUCUGGAGGAACAUCGGUGGCGAAGGCGGCAUCCUGGACCGGUAUUGACGCUGAGGCGCGAAAGCCAGGGGAGCAAACGGG
rnacentral:rRNA from 1 species